UGUUGUUUUGACAAGUCUUUAGGUGGAGGGCAGUUCAAAGCGGCAGCUAAAGCAGGGGUCUGGGAAGAGACGGAAGUCCCAGUGCUCAGAUCCAAAGGUCUACCAGAAUGGCUUAAUAUAAAUAGCUUAUUCCAGUGAAACAAUUCUCCUGCUAACUGAACAUCUUUUAAAGUGCUAUUUAAAAAUAUGUAAAAGUGGGAGAGCAACAGUCCUGAUCCAGCCCCAGCACAGCUUCAAUGAAGAAUUCCUGCAGAUCAACUCAGUGAUGAGAGGCAUUCUGUGAGCUCUUGAGGGCUUGCUGGUAAUCAGCCCUUCUUGAUAACUGGGCAAACCCUGAAUGCCUGAUCACCACCACAUAGACGUACUUCCUCAUCCAAGUGUGGUCAGAAGCGAGGAGGAGGAGAUCUACGCAAGCAUUAGCACAGAGCACAGAGCCGGGACAACUCCUUCCAGCCCCAGACACUGAA